CAAUAGCGUAUAUUAAAAUUGUUGCAGUUAAAACGCUCGUAGUUGAAAAUCUGCCAUCUGGUGCUUUGGUCCGCUACGCGAGUACCAUUGGCCGGUGGCAUCCGUUUGCACCGCAUUUCGGUGUAGUGCAAACCGUUCACUUUGAGGAAAUUAGAGUGUUCAACGCAGGCUUAUGCCGUGAAUACUUCAGCAUGGAAUGAUCGAUAGGGCUUCCGUCCUAUCCUUGGUUCUAGGGGCGCGAAGUAAUGAUAAAUAGGGUCGGUCGGGGGCAUUCGUAUUGAACAGUCAGAGGUGAAAUUCAGAGAUUUGUUCAAGACGAACAACUGCGAANGNAUUUGCNAAGGACGACCNCAUUANC
rnacentral:rRNA from 1 species